rnacentral:rRNA from 1 species
GUCCACGCCGUAACGAUGCACACUAGACCGGUGCGGCUCUGACGCCGGAUCGGUCGCCGUAAACAUUAAGUGUGCCGCCUGGGGAGUACGGUCGCAAGGCUAAACUCAAAGGAAUUGACGGGGCUCACACAAGCGGUGGAGCAUGUUGCUUAAUUCGAGGCAACGCGAAGAACCUUACCUGGGUUUGACAUGGCCGUAUUAACUCUAUGAAAGUAGAGCCACAGUCGCAAGACCGGAACGGUCACAGGUGCUGCAUGGCUGUCGU